CCACGUGAAAGUUGGCAACUGUGCCCUGCGGUCCCCCCAAAAUCACACUCCUCUCUAAAUGACCACAGACUUGAUGAAUCUAAAAGAGAACCUGUGCAGUGCAGACCGCAGGGCCCCAGUGAUGCAUCCAAGACCUUUAGAAUGCAGAUGAGCUCCAUCCCCUUGUGCGAUUUCUCCUCGGGUGGUGCUGACAGCUGGGCUGCCCAGAGAUCUCCGCUCCUGAGCAGCAUGUCAGUGACGGUGACAGGCAGAUCCUGAAACUAUCGAUAAACGCUCAUUGGGUGCUGGAGUGUGUUGCUUUUAGAGAUCCCUCCCUAAAGAAGAGAAGGAAGACAACGUGGAUUAGCUCCUGAAGCGCCCUCUGCCCUGGCCUCCCAAGGAGGGUUGUUGCUGGGUUCACACUGGAGCUUUAUCAGGAUCUGCAUCCUUCCUCAGCAAGUUGGUCCAGUGCUUUGCUCCCUACUCAGCAGCUUAGUGCGCUCAGGUCUCUUUGAACUGUCUUUAAUGCUGAAGUGGCCCAUCACUGCUUGGUCUCUUCCUAUCCCAUGGCUUAGGGAUGGCUACUUGCACUACUGCGUUCAAAUAUCCUUCUUCAACAGGGUAACAAGAUUCAUGGGUGGUGGGAGCAGUAGGGGUGAUAUAUCUCGGCUUCUGAUACUGUCUCACGUGACCUUUUCAUAAGCAAACUAGAGAAAUAUACUGCACAACUGCUUGGAAAACCAUACUCAGAAAGAGUAACUAUCAGUGAUUCACAGUCCAGCUGGAAGGGCAUAGUGAGUGGGAUCUGGGUCUGGUUCUAUUCAAUAGCUCCAUACGUGAUUUGGAUAAUGGCAUAGACAGUACACUUACAAAGUCUGUAGAUGUUACCAAGCUGGGAGGGGUUGCAAGCACUUUGGAGAACAAGAUUAGACUUCAAAAUGAUCU